UACGUAGGGACCAAGCGUUGUUCGGAUUUACUGGGCGUAAAGGGCGCGUAGGCGGCGCGGUAAGUCACUUGUGAAAUCUCUGAGCUUAACUCAGAACGGCCAAGUGAUACUGCAGUGCUAGAGUGUGGAAGGGGCAAUCGGAAUUCUUGGUGUAGCGGUGAAAUGCGUAGAUAUCAGGAGGAACACCGGUGGCGAAGGCGG
rnacentral:rRNA from 1 species